rnacentral:rRNA from 1 species
UACAGAGGUCCCAAGCGUUGUUCGGAUUCACUGGGCGUAAAGGGUGCGUAGGUGGCCAGGUAAGUUUGGUGUGAAAGCUCGGAGCUUAACUCCGAAAAGUCAUUGAAUACUAUCUGGCUGGAGGGUCGGAGGGGAGACUGGAAUUCUCGGUGUAGCAGUGAAAUGCGUAGAUAUCGAGGGGAACACCAGUGGCGAAGGCGAGUCUCUGGACGACUCCUGACACUGAGGCACGAAAGCUAGGGGAGCAAACAGG